ACGCACGCUGGCGGCGUGCUUAACCCAUGCAAGUCGCACGGAAAGGCCCUGCUUUUGUGGGGUGCUCGAGUGGCGAACGGGUGAGUAACACGUGAGUAACCUGCCCUUGACUUUGGGAUAACUUCAGGAAACUGGGGCUAAUACCGGAUAGGAGCUCCUGCUGCAUGGUGGGGGUUGGAAAGUUUCGGCGGUUGGGGAUGGACUCGCGGCUUAUCAGCUUGUUGGUGGGGUAGUGGCUUACCAAGGCUUUGACGGGUAGCCGGCCUGAGAGGGUGACCGGCCACAUUGGGACUGAGAUACGGCCCAGACUCCUGCGGGAGGCAGCAGUGGGGAAUAUUGCACAAUGGGCGGAAGCCUGAUGCAGCAACGCCGCGUGCGGGAUGACGGCCUUCGGGUUGUAAACCGCUUUCGCCUGUGACGAAGCGUGAGUGACGGUAAUGGGUAAAGAAGCACCGGCUAACUACGUG
rnacentral:rRNA from 1 species